CUGUUCAAUGCAUAUAAUUGACAAGUGAAAAAUUAUGAGAUUAUCCAAAUAAAUAAAUAUGAAUCUAAACAUCAACCUCAAACAUGCUUGAAAUUACACUAUAAGUAGAUCAAUGCAUAACUUGACUCUUGAAGUAACCCAGACCAUUUCCCUUCUCUAUUAACAUGACCUUAUACUAAUUAUUAUUCACAACACUAUGCUAUGACAUUCAAAUGAAUUGCGUACAAGGACAAGAUCUAAUACAACACACCCUAUUUAAUAUGAUUGAACACAGAAUCUAACUAAGAAUUCAAUUAACUGAUUUCUAUCAAGUUCUUGUAAUAGUCCAAAAUCAGAUACAAUAAUAAGAGUUAAAUAAUCACUAGCCAACAUGUAGCUAUAAGGUGCUUGGGAGAAAAUUGAAUUCCUACUAGGUUCAAACCCAAAUACAGUCCUUUAGAGUAGUAUUACUAGCAAUCAGCAAAAUGUGGUGCACCAAGCAAACUCAGAACCAUAUAAUUUAAGGAAAAAAUGCAGCUAAACUAUGGAUCAUGACAUGCUGAGGCUAUGCCUAAACUCCAGAUUUUCAUUUCACACUUCAAAUCAAAUCUCACAUGAGGCAGAACUUAAAAAAACAUGUACCUGAGAAUAAAAGAAGAACAAAAAAAAGUGAAAAGUCAGUAGCCAGCAACAGCAGCAGAAAUCACCAAUGUAACAGUAACAGCAACCAAAACUCAGACUUCAAUAACCAGGACCCAAAUGAUUCAGAACCAACCUUUAAAUCAGCAAUGGAGCAGUAGGAACCAAGUAAAAUCCAAUUCAAAUUCUACAGUACCAGAACUCCAACCAUUUUUAACCCAAAAUGCAAACUGUAAACUUUCAAUGGUUUGAGCUAAAUUAUCAGGACCAGAAGAACAAGAAUCUGAGGAUAACUUUUAGUGAUUUUUCUUAAAAAAUGCUAGGAAUUCAAGGUUGUUUUAGAAAUUUUUUAGAGAAGAAGCAGUCGUUUCAGUUUUUCUAUAUUUCCUAUCUCUUAAAAUCUGACUUGCUAAUAAAGAAAAAAUGCCUUUAUAGGCAUGGUUUUUGGGCUGCAGAAAUAGGCUAUGUUUUGCACCUAAAUCCUUUUGAAAUUUUCUUUUUUGCUUAAAUGUCCUUAACUUAAAAACUCAGUUUUCACAUAAGUCCCAAAGACAGCUUCUAGGAAGCUUCCCCUAGUUAGAAAUACAAGAUUCCCUUACCCAAAUGCCCUAAACUACCCCUUAAACUCCAUAUUUUCACCCUAGCCUACUUCAUAGGUCAAGUUGACCCAAGGUUAAACUGACAUGGGCUUGCAAGACCUGGGCUAAUCCCCUCAUUUUGGCUUAUAAUUUUUAGAGAACAAUUUAAAUCACAAUCAAAGGUCACAAAUUUGAGGGGCUAAUCAGAACUGCCCAAAAGAAAACCAGAAAAAACUAAAAAAAAAAAAUAAAGCCAAAAGAAAAAGAAAGGGAAGUGAAAUACUUAGAACAAAACAAGUAGAACCAAAACAAACAAUUAAACUUGUUAUUAAUCUAACUAUGCAACAUAAUAUUUAACCAAUAAAAAAGAAACAGAAAAUCAGAAGAGAUGAAGAGUGGAAUGAACGGAGAAGAAAACAAAGCGAGAAUUGAAAUAGCUAAACAAGAAAUGGAUGGACCAUGGCUUUGAAUAGGCCUCCCGUGCUUUCCGAUUUUGAUUGAAAUGUGUUUUAACAUGUGUUCUCAAAUGAAAACACAUGAAUAAAACCAAUUCUAACUUCAAAUCGUCAAAAGGGACCAUUUGAUUUAUGUUUUGGAAAUAUAGGGUUUGAGUCUUUGAUCUAAUAUUCGAGAAAUUUCAGGGGGUUUGAAGAAAACAGAGUGGGGAUUUGAGAUAAGGGGAGUGAGGUGGUUCUGGGGUGUAAUUUUGGGGCCGAUUGGUGGCCAGCCGCUGCAGGCGAUUUCUGGCAGGUGGCUGGUGGUGGCGAUAUAGAGAGACGAAUGGGUCUCUGAGAGUGCGAGGUGAGAGAUUAAAUGAGGGGAGGGGCUUAGGCAUUUGGACAUCUAAUAAUAAAUGAACCCCACUUUCGGACUGUCUAAUUAAAUAAAAUCAACGGUCCAGAUCGAGGGGCCUUCAGACGGUGUCGUUCGGUCGAUGGAGG
rnacentral:lncRNA from 1 species